rnacentral:rRNA from 1 species
GAAUCUGAGAGUUUGAUCCUGGCUCAGGACGAACGCUGGCGGCGCGCUUAACACAUGCAAGUCGAACGGUCCCUUCGGGGAUAGUGGCGCACGGGUGAGUAACGCGUGGGAACCUGCCCUGAGGUACGGGACAACAGAGGGAAACUUCUGCUAAUACCGUAUGAGCCCAUUUCUUUAGCGAGUGAUGGGGAAAGAUUUAUCGCCUUGGGAGGGGCCCGCGUUGGAUUAGCUGGUUGGUGGGGUAAUGGCCUACCAAGGCUUCGAUCCAUAGCUGGUCUGAGAGGAUGAUCAGCCACACUGGGACUGAGACACGGCCCAGACUCCUACGGGAGGCAGCAGUGGGGAAUCUUGG